GAAGUGCUUGCCUAGACGAGACACAGUGCAUAAAAACAACUUUUGGGGGACAGGUAUGUUUUCUUGCAGCUGCGGUUGUAAGGUCUUGGCAAGACAAGCA
ensembl:miRNA